AUGUGCUUUUUUCCACAACUACUUCAAGCUGACAUUGAGACAUUGUUAUCAGGGCCCAAGCAGGUUGAAAGGCUAGCCAAAGUCUGGACCCGGUCCUGGCAGCAGGUGUUGCACUGGGGCAUCUCGCCCAGUGAUCUAACAGCAGUUGAGAGGGAAGACCCGUCCUUACUUACUCCUGCAGCCAAAAGGCUGAAACUGGACACCAAGGAGAAGAGAGAGAAGAAGCAGAAAGUGGACGAGGAUGAGAUUCAGAAGAUGCAAAUCCUCAUCUCUUCUUUUUCUGAGGAGCAGCUGAACCGUUAAGAAAUGUAUCGCCGGUCAACUUUCCCUAAGGCAACCAUUAAAAGGCUGAUCCAGUCUAUCACGGGGACCUCUGUGUCCCAGAAUGUUGUGAUUGCCAUGUCUGGAAUUUCUAAAGUUUUUGUGGGGGAGGUAGUAGAAGAAGCCCUGGAUGUGUGUGAGAAGUGGGGAGAGAUGCCACCACUGCAGCCCAAGCACAUGCGGGAGGCUGUUCGGAGGCUGAAGUCCAAGGGGCAGAUCCCCAACUCUAAGCACAAGAAAAUCAUCUUCUUCUAGAUCUGCCUGAGAGCGGUCCAGACUCCACAGCUGGGCUGUGCAUUGGUGCUCCUCGUCAGUGCUCCAAGGACCCACGAUGCUGAUGUCAGUGUCUCUGUCACACCUGUAAGGCACCAGUAACAAAGACAAAGACAACCUGCUGGCUUCACUUUGAAGCCUAAAGUUGCUACAACCCAGGUUGUUUCUCGCCUCUGGUUUUUAGAAACUUAACCUUGGGUCAUCUGCCAUGAAGUCACAAGGGUGACAUACUUCAUGUUGUUAACAUUUCAGAUUCUCCUGCGGAGUUACCAUUAAACUUUUCCGACUUGUGUGGAAAAGUUUAUUUUGUUGAAGGCAAAAUUUAUCAUUCUUCCACUGUCUAAAUAAAACUAACCAGUCUUGA